UGCUGCAGUAUCAGAUAUUUCUUCAACGAAACAUCAGACUCUUACUUAACAUGGGCAAGGAAAGGACCAGCGUCAACAUGGCCGUCGUCGGCUACUACUAGACCUUCUAUCAGAUGGACGGCUAGUACAACACGGAUUUGGCCCGGCUUCUGUACACGGACACGUUCUGGACACGGACAACACGAUGCUUGCUUACCGGAUUACACCUCAAUCAUUUUUGUAGGCCUACAUUGACCAAAUAAAUCAAAAUUUCCUGUUUUA
rnacentral:lncRNA from 1 species